UUUGCUUUGUUAAAUCACAUUUUAAUGCAAUAAUCAAAUGUCUGUACAGAGUUAACAGAGUCAGGCAAGCAGCUCCAGACUUUGUCAUCACAGGUUGCUCCAUGGGUUUUACUGUUUAAAAAAAAGUGAACAUUCAAACAGGAGUUCAUACACAAGUCCUCACCACUACAUUCAUACUAUGAACAAUCUACACAACUGUACAGGUUCCCAGGCUGCUAUGUAUAACACAAUUAACAUGUCCAACACUAAAUGGCUAUACAUUGGUAUGAUGUUUGGUUCCACUGACAUUCCUAAAGCAUGAACAAAAUCUAGCUAAGAGUUUCAACUGAGCUUCUCUCAGACAGGAGAGGUGGUGACUUUUGAAAAGGGGAUCAGAAGGGGUAGGGGGUGAGAGGGGGAGAUACAGGUUGUCACAUCGUUUCCGAGGCAACAGCUAACACCAUAAUUUUUAUUACUAGACCAGUUUCUAAAGUAAACAAACAAAAUACUUUUUCAAAACUGUACCAAAAUGAUGCUUGGAAUCCCAUAUGCAAUCUUUCCAACCAUGCAACAUAAUAUUUAAGAAAAAAACCAACAACAUCCACUUCCUAUCCUAAAAACCUAAUUAAACAGUCCACAUUUGAACAAUAUAAUCAUUUUUUAUAUGUGUUUUCGUAACUUUAUAGACACACUAAAUCUCAUUAAAUGGGCACAAUGAGCAUAGGUUUAUACAUCACAAUAUUCAAUUUCACAUGUGACAUAAAUCCAGUUUGUUGUUUCUAAAACAUAAAUAAUGAACCUUGUGGUUGAAAGGAUAUCUUACAUUUGUUUUUCAGUAUACAAAGGCUAGCAUAUAAGGUACAAGUACUAUAUAAACACUAUAAAUAAUCACAAUAUUUUUAAAAAAAAAUCAGGGUUCAUAACUCAGUAAUGUUAGAUUACUCCCCCCCCCCCCCCCC